AGAGUUUGAUCCUGGCUCAGAAUCAACGUUGGCGGCGUGCCUAACACAUGCAAGUCGAACGAGAAAGUGGUAGCAAUACCAUGAGUAAAGUGGCGCACGGGUGAGUAACACGUGACUAACCUACCUUGGAGUUCGGAAUAACCUCGGGAAACCGGGGCUAAUACCGGAUGAUACCUUUGGGUCAAAGGAGCAAUUCGCUCUGAGAGGGGGUCGCGGCUGAUUAGCUAGUUGGCAGGGUAAUGGCCUACCAAGGCGACGAUCAGUAUCCGGCCUGAGAGGGCGCACGGACACACUGGAACUGAAACACGGUCCAGACUCCUACGGGAGGCAGCAGUGGGGAAUUUUGCACAAUGGGGGAAACCCUGAUGCAGCAACGCCGCGUGGAGGAUGAAGGUCUUUGGAUUGUAAACUCCUUUCGACCGGGACGAUAAUGACGGUACCGGGAGAAGAAGCACCGGCUAACUCUGUGCCAGCAGCCGCGGUAAUUC
rnacentral:rRNA from 1 species